UCCCUGAUGUUAGCGGCGGACGGGUGAGUAACACGUGGGUAACCUGCCUGUAAGACUGGGAUAACUCCGGGAAACCGGGGCUAAUACCGGAUGGUUGUUUGAACCGCAUGGUUCAAACAUAAAAGGUGGCUUCGGCUACCACUUACAGAUGGACCCGCGGCGCAUUAGCUAGUUGGUGAGGUAACGGCUCACCAAGGCAACGAUGCGUAGCCGACCUGAGAGGGUGAUCGGCCACACUGGGACUGAGACACGGCCCAGACUCCUACGGGAGGCAGCAGUAGGGAAUCUUCCGCAAUGGACGAAAGUCUGACGGAGCAACGCCGCGUGAGUGAUGAAGGUUUUCGGAUCGUAAAGCUCUGUUGUUAGGGAAGAACAAGUACCGUUCGAAUAGGGCGGUACCUUGACGGUACCUAACCAGAAAGCCACGGCUAACUACGUGCCAGCAGCCGCGGUAAUACGUAGGUGGCAAGCGUUGUCCGGAAUUAUUGGGCGUAAAGGGCUCGCAGGCGGUUUCUUAAGUCUGAUGUGAAAGCCCCCGGCUCAACCGGGGAGGGUCAUUGGAAACUGGGGAACUUGAGUGCAGAAGAGGAGAGUGGAAUUCCACGUGUAGCGGUGAAAUGCGUAGAGAUGUGGAGGAACACCAGUGGCGAAGGCGACUCUCUGGUCUGUAACUGACGCUGAGGAGCGAAAGCGUGGGGAGCGAACAGGAUUAGAUACCCUGGUAGUCCACGCCGUAAACGAUGAGUGCUAAGUG
rnacentral:rRNA from 1 species